ACUCAAAUGAAUUGACGGGGGCCCGCACAAGCGGAGGAACAUGUGGUUUAAUUCGAUGAUACGCGAGGAACCUUACCUGGGCUUAAAUGUAGAACGACAGAUUGUGAAAGCAGUCCUUCUUCGGACGUUUUACAAGGUGCUGCAUGGUUGUCGUCAGCUCGUGCCGUGAGGUGUCGGGUUAAGUCCCAUAACGAGCGCAACCCUUAUCGUUAGUUGCCAGCGGGUCAUGCCGGGGACUCUAGCGAGACUGCCACCGUAAGGUGUGAGGAAGGUGGGGAUGACGUCAAAUCAGCACGGCCCUUAUGUCCAGGGCUACACACGUGUUACAAUGGCCGAUACAAAGGGCAGCUACCAGGUGACUGGAUGCUAAUCUCUAAAGUCGGUCUCAGUUCGGAUCGAAGUCUGCAACCCGACUUCGUGAAGCUGGAUUCGCUAGUAAUCGCAUAUCAGCCAUGAUGCGGUGAAUACGUUCCCGGGCCUUGUACACACCGCCCGU
rnacentral:rRNA from 1 species